ACCACGUUGAAACGCCUAUUCUCGUACGAUCAUCAGAGUUAAGCAACGUCGAGCCUGGCCAGUACCUAAAUGGGUGACCGCUUGGGAAUACCAGAUGCCGUA
rnacentral:rRNA from 1 species